CUUCCUGCAUGGUUCUUUGUAAUUUUUGUUCCUUUUGACUUAUUUUUCUGUUUCAACACAGCUUCCUUCUUCAUUUUCACCUCUUUCCAUCUGCAAAGUCAUCUAUCUCCGGGCCCCCAGAACAUGUAGUUGAACUCACUCAGCCCCUUGGCAUCAGUUUCUGUAAUCCUUGCAUCAGUGUAGGGAGUAACUGCUUGAGUAACUACAAAGGUAUUUCAAAAACUUCAGUGCAAUUUGGUUCAGUUAUUUUCAUUCAGAUGCCAUCACCGUUCAGGGAGAUUAAUCACUGGAACCCAUUGAUCCAUGUAGCGACUUUCCCGGCAAAAACAAAUAAGUUGACUUAAGGCAGGAUCCUUCCAUUGAGAUGAAUGUGGAUUCUGGAAACAAAUUUAUAAAAAUAAACUUAUUUUAAAAACCAGUAUAUUCUAGUAAUUAUACUUUUGAGGAGAAAACACUUGAACAUUCUAUAUUUUGGCUAUGUGACAUGGAGACAAAUUAGAAGCACAAAAAAAUUAAAGUUUCUUCAAGGUAGUUGGGUUCCCUGCAAAAGCGUUAAGGGUAAUUACCUAUUAAACUACACAUUGCAAAGUCUGAACCCAUGCAACCCAAGCUGAACCACAUACAUAUGUUUGCAUAUCUGUUCAGUUUUGCAUGAGAGUAUCAUUCACCGGUUUGCUCUACCAAACUUGUUACCCUGACCUGAGUGAAACAGUUUUGAGAAAGAUUUCCAUGCUGUGUGCACAAUGAGAUGAGAGCUGCACAGCAGUUAACUGGAAUUGCCAUCAACCAUACUCCAAGAGACAGAAUAGUACUUUUAAGGAGUAGCAAAAUAAUCGGGCUGUCACUUGACUAGACCAGUCAAAAAAGAGCAAAAUUUAGAAGACAAAAGUAGCACAUUUACCCCUGAAAACAUAACUUCCCUACCUACCAAAGGUUUUUAUCAGGAAAAAAAAAAAGAGCCAUUAAAAAAAUGCAAGAUUGCAGAGAAAAAAAAUUCCACUCUAUCCUCUUAAUGUAUUUCUAGGGAAUUAACAAGGUUUGUCUCCUACACAAUUUCUAUUUUUAGCUCUGACUGGCAGAGAAUGAAGCUGACUCCUUAAUGAGGGGUGAGCCAGGAAUUCAUUUGGCUUUAUCUAAUCUGCCCUGCUAAAGGAAUUAGUCACGGGAGGCAGUGCAGAUGUAGGUAGGGAGUAGCUGGGCUGACUGCUGACUCACAGGGAUCUCUUCCGCUGCUGGCAGUCCCCAGCAUGCUUAGACAUGUUCUGUACCACAGAAAAUCCUGGUGAUGAAACUAGCACAUCUCGGCUGAAAGUCCAGCCACACUCUAGUCGGACAAAGGCAGCCACCCUCCUGACCCCCACCUACCACAGAUCCACAAUCAGGCAACCCAGCCCUGACUCCCGUCCUUCCGGGGCUCUACCCUGCAGGCUGCAGUCCCCCAGUCCCUUACCGUCACCAGCACGCAGUGCAGGUCCGGGGGCUGCUCGGCGCCCUCGCUCGCCGCGGGGCCAGCGUCGGUCUCCAAGAGCAGGAGCUCCGCCAGCCGGCCCGGGUUGCUGACGCGCAGGAUGUUGAUGUCGUUCUCGCAGCAAAACGCCUGGAUCAGGGUGAAGUGGAUCUGCAGAGCCACAUCUCUGUCGUCGUCCUCGUCCGCCGCCAGCAGGCACAACACCACGUUAUCGGGGUCGCUGGGGGCAGCGGGCGGGGCCA
rnacentral:lncRNA from 1 species